UACGUAGGGUGCAAGCGUUGUCCGGAAUUAUUGGGCGUAAAGGGCUCGUAGGCGGUCCGUCACGUCGGGAGUGAAAUCCUGGGGCUUAACCCCAGAACUGCUUCCGAUACGGGCAGACUAGAGGUAGGUAGGGGAGAAUGGAAUUCCUGGUGUAGCGGUGGAAUGCGCAGAUAUCAGGAGGAACACCAGUGGCGAAGGCGGUUCUCUGGGCAUUAACUGACGAUGAGGAGCGAAAGCAUGGGGAGCGAACAGG
rnacentral:rRNA from 1 species